GAUGAACGCUGGCGGCGUGCCUAAUACAUGCAAGUCGAGCGAACAGAUAAGGAGCUUGCUCCUUUGACGUUAGCGGCGGACGGGUGAGUAACACGUGGGUAACCUAUCUAUAAGACUGGGAUAACUUCGGGAAACCGGAGCUAAUACCGGAUAAUAUUUCGAACCGCAUGGUUCGAUAGUGAAAGAUGGUUUUGCUAUCACUUAUAGAUGGACCCGCGCCGUAUUAGCUAGUUGGUAAGGUAACGGCUUACCGAGGCGACGAUACGUAGCCGACCUGAGAGGGUGAUCGGCCACACUGGAACUGAGACACGGUCCAGACUCCUACGGGAGGCAGCAGUAGGGAAUCUUCCGCAAUGGGCGAAAGCCUGACGGAGCAACGCCGCGUGAGUGAUGAAGGUCUUCGGAUCGUAAAACUCUGUUAUUAGGGAAGAACAUACGUGUAAGUAACUGUGCACGUCUUGACGGUACCUAAUCAGAAAGCCACGGCUAACUACGUG
rnacentral:rRNA from 1 species